rnacentral:rRNA from 1 species
CCUACGGGGGGCUGCAGUCGAGAAUCUUCCGCAAUGGGCGCAAGCCUGACGGAGCGAUGCCGCGUGAGGGAAGAAGGCCUUCGGGUUGUAAACCUCUGUCACCCGGGACGAAAACAAUGACGGUACCGGGAGAGGAAGUCACGGCUAACUACGUGCCAGCAGCCGCGGUAAUACGUAGGUGGCGAGCGUUAUUCGGAUUCACUGGGCGUAAAGGGUCCGCAGGGGGCCUGCCAAGUCUGUCGUGAAAUCCCGGGGCUCAACCCCGGGUCUGCGGUGGAAACAGGCGGGCUGGAGUGUGUGAGGGGUAGACGGAACACCUGGUGUAGCGGUGGAAUGCGUGGAUAUCAGGUGGAACACCGAUGGCGAAGGCGGUCUACUGGCACACAACUGACCCUCAGGGACGAAAGCGUGGGUAGCAAACAGGAUUAGAUACCCCUGUAGUC